GUGCCAGCAGCCGCGGUAAUACCGGCAGCCCGAGUGAUGGCCGAUCUUAUUGGGCCUAAAGCGUCCGUAGCUGGCUGCGCAAGUCCGUCGGGAAAUCCGCCCGCUUAACGGGCGGACGUCCGGCGGAAACCAUACGGCUUGGGACCAGAGGAACCGAGGGGUACGUCGGGGGUAGGAGUGAAAUCCCAUAAUCCCGCACGGACCACCGAUGGCGAAAGCACUUCGAGAAAACGGAUCCGACAGUGAGGGACGAAAGCCAGGGUCUCCAACCGGAUUAGAUACCCUAGUAGUCC
rnacentral:rRNA from 1 species